GAUGAAGAACGUAGCGAAAUGCGAUAAGUAAUGUGAAUUGCAGAAUUCAGUGAAUCAUCGAAUCUUUGAACGCACAUUGCGCCCCUUGGUAUUCCGGGGGGCAUGCCUGUUCGAGCGUCAUUUCAACCCUCAAGCUCUGCUUGGUAUUGGGCACCGUCCUUUGCGGGCGCGCCUCAAAGACCUCGGCGGUGGCGUCUUGCCUCAAGCGUAGUAGAAUACACCUCGCUUCGGAGCGUAAGGCGUCGCCCGCCGGACGAACCUUCUGAACUUUUCUCAAGGUUGACCUCGGAUCAGGUAGGGAUACCCGCUGAACUUAUACAUAUCAAUAAGCGGAGGA
rnacentral:misc_RNA from 1 species